AUACGGAGGAUCCGAGCGUUAUCCGGAUUUAUUGGGUUUAAAGGGUGCGCAGGCGGCCAUUUAAGUCAGCGGUUAAAUCGUGGGGCUCAACCCCAUUCUGCCGUUGAUACUGGGUGGCUUGAUUGCGGUCGAGGUUGGCGGAAUUCGUUGUGUAGCGGUGAAAUGCAUAGAUAUGACGAAGAACACCGAUUGCGUAGGCAGCUGACCAGAACGCAAAUGACGCUCAUGCACGAAAGUGCGGGGAUCGAACAGGAUUAGAUUCCCUGGUAGUCCGCACAGUAAACGAUGAAUACUUGUUUUCGGCGAUAUAAUGUCGGAGGCAAAGCGAAAGCGAUAAGUAUUCCACCUGGGGAGUACGCCGGCAACGGUGAAACUCAAAGGAAUUGACGGGG
rnacentral:rRNA from 1 species